ACGAUGAUGGUCCUCUGUGGACAUCUUACUAGACAGUGCUGGAUUGUGUGCUCUGAUUCUAACACUGUCUGGUAACGAUGUUCAAAGGGUGAG
rnacentral:pre_miRNA from 1 species